GACGAACGCUGGCGGCGUGCUUAACACAUGCAAGUCGAACGGAAAGGCCCUGCUUUUGUGGGGUGCUCGAGUGGCGAACGGGUGAGUAACACGUGAGUAACCUGCCCUUGACUUUGGGAUAACUUCAGGAAACUGGGGCUAAUACCGGAUAGGAGCUCCUGCUGCAUGGUGGGGGUUGGAAAGUUUCGGCGGUUGGGGAUGGACUCGCUGCUUAUCAUCUUGUUGGUGGGGUAGUGGCUUACCAAGGCUUUGACGGGUAGCCGGCCUGAGAGGGUGACCGGCCACAUUGGGACUGAGAUACGGCACAGACUCCUACGGGAGGCAGCAGUGGGGAAUAUUGCACGAUGGGCGGAAGCCUGAUGCAGCAACGCCGCGUGCGGGAUGACGGCCUUCGGGUUGUAAACAGAUUUCGCCUGAGACGAAGCGUGAGUGACGGUACUGGGUCAAGAAGCACCGGCUAACUACGUG
rnacentral:rRNA from 1 species